rnacentral:lncRNA from 1 species
UUUUUAAGAUUUUCGAGGGUAAAACAGUUAAAAAGCUGGAUUGACCCUAAGCCUGACUCUUUGACUCAACCUAAGGCUCGGGGGCUACUCCAUAUGGAGUACGAUUGACAUCGCACUACCAUAUAAAAACUCUCGGAACAGAAGCAACUCAAAGGAACAAGAAGAGUACCUUCCAGCCAUGCGACAGUACUUGGGCACUUCGGACACUGCAACCUCUACGACAAACUACUCGGAUAGU